UACGGAGGGGACUAGCGUUGUUCGGAAUUACUGGGCGUAAAGCGCACGUAGGCGGAUUGUUUAGUCAGGGGUGAAAUCCCGAGGCUCAACCUCGGAACUGCCUUUGAUACUGGCAAUCUCGAGUCCGGAAGAGGUGAGUGGAAUUCCUAGUGUAGAGGUGAAGUUCGUAGAUAUUAGGAAGAACACCAGUGGCGAAGGCGGCUCACUGGUCCGGUACUGACGCUGAGGUGCGAAAGCGUGGGGAGCAAACAGG
rnacentral:rRNA from 1 species